rnacentral:rRNA from 1 species
UACAGAGGUCUCAAGCGUUGUUCGGAAUCACUGGGCGUAAAGGGUGCGUAGGCCGCACGGUAAGUCAGAGGUGAAAUCCCGGAGCUCAACUUCGGAAUUGCCUCCGAUACUGCCGUGCUUGAGGACUGGAGAGGAGAUUGGAAUUCACAGUGGAGCAGUGAAAUGCGUAGAUAUUGUGAGGAACACUAGUGGCGAAGGCGAAUCUCCGGACAGUUCCUGACGCUGAGGCACGAAGGCCAGGGGAGCAAACGGG